AAAAGUUGCUCUACCGGGUAUUGGGCAAAAGGUGAAAAACAUGAGAAGAAUAUUACCGGUUACUAGAUAAUAGGCUCUCAGGGGACCAAAAGCAUCUAUCUAGGUAAGAUCUAGAAAGAAAAGGUCAAUCAAGACUCAACCCAAUGAGGAUAUAGCUCAAGGGGAAUAAUUCCAUCCAGGUAAUCAACUGGGGAGGAAACUAAAACAAUGAUCAUCCACGAGGAAAUAACUCAGUGGGGAAA
rnacentral:lncRNA from 1 species